rnacentral:tRNA from 1 species
GGCGGGAUAGCUCAGUUGGCUAGAGCAGCGGACUCAUAUCCCGCAGGUCGAGUGUUCGAAUCACUCUCCCGCUACCA